UAGGAAAGGGGUGUGAGUGUGUGCCGCCUUAUGUGUAAUUAUCAGGUAACAAGACUCGUUUUCUUGGGCAGCUUAUAAAAUGGCUCUGAAGAUGAUUCUCACAUGGAGCUCUCCACAUGUUUGAGACAGACCUCCAGGAAGUGUGUGGAGUUCUCCCAUUUUGCAGGCCUAGUGUCAUCUCACACCAUCACAACAAGUGAGAGUGCGGUGCUGUAAGAGAGGGGGAGAGAGAGAGCACAAUCGCACAGCUUACUACAGCAUGAGAUCACCAGCUUGUUAGAAAUACAAAUCAGAAGCUGCAGUUGAACAGCGUCCCUACAUGAUCUGUGUCCACACUGAUGGGAAAGAUCAGGAGUGAACGAUGAUGGGGCAGUGGCAUUGGGCAUACGAGAGGACGAGUUUGAGUCUCUGGAUCCUCUGGAAAUGGAAUGACUCAGGAGGAUGUAAUAGAAGAUCUUUCAAAAGCAAGUUCUCUAGACGAUGCUGUAUAAAUGUGCAAGUUUGUACCAUCAGACAUAUAAAUAGCUUC